CCGAUAAUAUCUUGGACGAGUUCAAAAUUAUGCCAGUUGGUUGAAAAACAUGGCUGCCAGGGGGUGGGGCAUAUUUCCUGACAUGGCAGUAGUAAAACCUUGUUAACACUCUAGAGGCCACAUUUAUUUUCCGAUUUUCGUGAAACUUUGUUAGAAUAUUUGUCCCAAUAAUAUCUUGUUAUCUCAGAUGAGCGACUUUGGACCUUUCAGGCACUCUUGUUUUUUCAGUGGCAACUUGGUGUACAUGGGUUGGCUGGCAUACAAAAUGUAUUGUUAAGUCAAGUGCAAAGGCAUCAUUAUAUCCCAGAUUAAACUUGCGCUUGUUCCCUUUGUUUCCGUCUGUUUUAAGAUAUUGUUGUCCUGUUUCUCUCCUUGUAUUACUUCUGUUGCCAGUUUCAGCACUGACACUGCUAAUCAGGUUAACGAUGUUGUCCCUUGUGUCAUUGUGUUCCUUGCGAGUUAUACCAACGAUGUUGUCCCGUGUGUCAUUGUGUUUCUUGUGAGUUAUACCAACUUUUCCAAUUUAAGAUGUGAUUGGGUGCUCAAGUCUUCAUGGUAAGUUGUUUGCACCGUGAUCGAAUGGAAUCUCUUCUCCUAGAUGUAAAUUUUGUGUUGCAAAAAGGCACUAGUUAGGUUUGUGGUGGAGAAUAACAUCACGGACCUCUGCAUUUUUUGUACUCCCAAUCCCAUUGUUUACAAAACUACCCAACUGUUUUGAGAAAGUUGCAUCAACACACAGCACUUUGGUUCUGCUCUUGAAAAAGAACAGAUAUGAUCCUAGAUGUCUUGGGUAUUUCUUUUCGCGAUGGAGAGCGUCUGCUUUGGAAAUAAGUUCACCAGCCUACUCAAAUAAAAACGGUCCUUUUGGUUUUUUAUCGAUCAUAUACACACCAUUGCCAGUGUAAUCAUUUACUUCCUUAACCGUAAAGCCAGGUGGAUCGUUUCCUUCCUACUGUAGUUCUUCCAGUCAUUGUUAUCAUAUGUUUGUGAAAUAAUUCUGGUUGGAGUAAACUUUAUUCUCCUCAUUUCCAUCAACUCCCUCGUUCUGUUUAAAAACCAAUUCGGUCGAGUCUCGCUUCUCUUCAGAACCAAAACUGGUGUCAUCAAAUGCUCGGCGUGUGCUACUAUUUCCAGAUAUAGUCCACUAUAUCUACCGCCACUUAGCACCAAAUCCUUUGACACGAUUUCAAAUACGUUUUUAUUACUUAUUUACAGAUAGGUCUGCUGGGAUUCGUUGAUGUGUAUUCUAAACAUGCUGUUUAAAGUAUGCCACAAUGCACAUUGUUCUCUUGUUUUAAAUCGUGCGUAAAAUGUAGGCUAGACACACUGAUUUAAACGCUUUAAAUCUGACCGUUUAAAAAUGACAUUGUUCUUAUUAAGCAAAAGCCAAAUUUAAUCCCUGGAAUACUACUAAACACAAUAAUUUAGUAGUAUAACUCAAUUUUAAGUUACAUCCGAUAGCAGUUCGUGCUCUCAACUUCAUCCUUACUUGUUUUCAUCGUUACCAACACCAGAAGUAUUGUAUGAUAUUAAACGUUUUAAUAUUGAUUUCAUUAUCAACAUCACUAAUAGCUGACUUAUUAAUGGUUAAACUGUGAAACUAUUAUAUCUAAAUUGAGUAGAGAAAUACCCAACAGAAAAAUUAAACAUGUUACUGAAUAGCUAGCAACGAGGUGAUUCUCCUUACUAUAGGGAUGUGUGCCUCAUUGUCAACAGUGAUGCUGGUGCUGCGGCUCACACACACUUGCCCAAACCUGUUUGCACGGCGACAUCUUGAUGUAAUAAUCUUCCUGGGAGUGAAGAGCGUCAGUUUAUGCGUUCAUUUAUGUCUACCCAGAUUAUUGCUUGUUGGGAAAGCUGCCCUUAAAUAUUAAAUUUUCCUCUUUAUAUUGUUUCAUACAUGAGUCCCUGUACACGUCGUUUCUGCCCAGGUGCAAUACCAAUUCCUUCAGAGGUGUGGAAAGCAACACAUUUGCUUUGAUUGACUUCUGGAAUGUUGAUCAUGUCAGGCCGCCAAUAACCCACCACACUUGUGGGAAGCCGCAGGUUCUCUAUCCCCUAUUAUUUAGCUCUUGCUCCUGCCCGCUCUCUGACUGUUUAGGUGGUUAAGGUUAUGAUUUAUGGCGAGUUUUAUGGUUUACUGCUUAGCUCGGUCACAGUUAGCAAUUGAUAAACUUUGGAUUUUCAAACAUUCGUAAUAAACGUAAAUUUGUCUGAAUUUGCACAUUGAUGAGAUGACAAAGUAGGAAGUGUAAAACACAUCUGAAAGUUCAUCUAACUACCCAAAUGUAACGAAACUGCCAAAAGCUGCCAAUUUGAAUGAUGAGGAAAAGCAUACGGGGGUAAUAUUACCAUCCUUAAGUACUUGGAUUCCUCCAUACUUUCAACCGUCUGGCCUUCAAGAGUGAAAUUUUUCAGUAUUGGUGAACACUUUCUGCAGACUAAACAUAUGGUGCACUUUUCUGGAUUUGAAGACAAUCCCUAGAGCUUCUCCCAUUCUCACAGUCUGGAGCAAUUUGCGGUCCCAAUCUGAACACAUUUCUGUAGACUUGUCCACAAUUUAUUGAAAUGAAAUCUACAGUGUAAUCUUUGCCAACCUUGUAAUUUUUUAGCGAGGCUGUUUUCGGAGAAAGCCCGAGGUAUUGUCAUAGCCUGCUCGCCGUACGCCGGCGUCGUGCUAAAACCUUUACAAUCGCUCUAAAAUCAAAGUGCUUCCACCUACAACUUUGAAACUUCAUAUGUAUAUGCACCUUGAUGAGUUCUACACACCACACCCAUUUUGGGUCACUAGGUCAAAGGUCAAGGUCACUGUGACCUUCUAAAAAAUCAAAAAAAAAUCUGACAAGCUUUCACAGCCAAGCGUGGCACCCGUUAUGCGGUGCUCUUGUCUUAUUAACCUUUAUCUUCUUAAAAAAACACAUCAAAAAAUUAAUCAACUUAUAUUAUUAAGAUAGGAAAAGAUUCUUGUUAUGUAGCAUAGUCAAUGUUUUACAUUAUUAAAACACAAAUAUAAAGUAUAAUGCUAAUUAAUUAGUUUAUCAUACAUGUAUUUAUUGUAGGCACCAUAGUGUUGUAAACAAGAAUGAACUAUACUGGUUAUGGGUUAUCUCUUCCCUGGCUUGGCUGCUUCAUCAAGAAUGUAAGCUGUUGUACAUCUUGUUACAUAAAAAAGGUUUCUUUAAAUACCAAAUUAUGUGUUUUAUUUAUUAAAAUAUUCUCAUACUUUUAAAGGGAGACUAUGAGACUAUACGCGCAAUUAAAGUUACUGUCUUAAGUGAAACAAUUUCAAAGAUAGUUCUGAAAGAGGGUAUAAGCCUUUCAAAAACAUCUUGGUCAAGGUGGAGAACAAUGAAACACACCCUUCAUAUACCUCUUAAUCAAGACACAUUCUGUACACCAUUAUUUUAUUCCCAGGAAGUGUCUGUAACAACAUUGACUUAUAUGAACUGAUAACUGAAUAUGAUUUUUUUUGUACACGCAAACUAUUCAAAAAUUGAAUAACUAUACUUUCAGUUGUAAUAAAGGGAUUUCUUUCCCAGACAAUGUACAAAGAAUACCACUUCCUCCUUGAAGAGUCAUAUUGUUUAAGUGUUCCAAGUUUCCAUGAGUUGAUGAUGAUGUCAGACACUUGUCUUGGAAUUCCUUGCUUCUGAGGCUUGUCUGGAGACAGCUGCAGCCCAUUGUGGGAUAAAGUCAGCAGGUCCUUGUGUGGUGGCAAUCUAAUUGGGGAAUCAAUUAAAAUCUCCAUUAAUAAAGGAAACCAAACUUGUGUUUUCCAAAGAGGAAAUACAAAAAUUGCCUUUUGCACUCCAUCAUCUUUUAAUUUAUUUAUCACUCGACAGAUCAAAGAGAAUGGUGGAAAUAUAUAGGGAUAAUAUGAGCUCCAUGAUAUACUAAAAGCAUUAACACUUGUAGCGCCUGGUUCUGGGAGUAGAGAAUCUUGUAGUAAAAUUAGAAGAAAACAUGUAGAAGUCAAUUUUUUGGUCCAAUCAUCAUGAAGCAGCUCAUACUUUUUUCCAAAUAGUCCGGUUUUGAUUGGCUCUCAGCUGAACGACCAAGGGCCUAUGGCCCUGUUGCUUUUUUUUCGUGUUCCAGAAUGUUUGAAGAUUUUGCAAGAAGAUGGCAUAUUUGUCCCCUACUGGUGAAACCGGAGGGGACUUAUGGUUUGCACUCUGUGCGUCUGUCACACUUUUCUGGAUCCUGGAUAACUUUGAAAGUUCUUCAUAUAUUUUUUCAUGAAACUUAAAACAUGGACAGAUAGCCAUAUGGAGGUUAUGCAUGUCAAUUCAUUAUGUUCCUACGUCAAGAAUUCUGGUUGCUAUGGCAACACACAAAUAAUAAAAACAAUGGUGGAGUUUCACCGGUAGGGGACCAUAUUGCUUGGCAAUCUCUUGUUAACAGAUUGUACAUUUUAUGUCCAUGCAAUUUGUUGCAACUCAGCCAGAAACCAUCAAUAGGUAUGUUAGAAGCCCUAGGUAAAUCAAAUUAUAAAUUGUCAACUAUCUUCAAUUAAUCUAGCAAUUUCUUGAUUAUACAUAAUAUUUAUAAUUUAUUAACAAUUUAAAAUGUCCAUUUACUUACAUCUACUUACAAUAAUCUAAAGAACACUGCUCCAAUUAUGCGCAAAUAUAUCCCAUUGAAGAUCAAACCAAUUUAAAUGACUUGCCCUAUUUUGUGCAUAAACAUUUAUCAACCCUUAAUGACCGAUAACCUAGUUGUAGAAUCACCUUUAUACACUCUGUGUUUUAUUCUGCUGUAUAAACAUAGAUUCAGAUGUUUAUGAAAAAUAAAAGAAGUACAUGUCAAGUAAAAGUA